GCGCGGGCGGGCGCCCUACACAUGCAGUCGAACGAAGUAGCAAUACUUAGUGGCAGACGGGUGAGUAACAUGUAGGUAUCUGCCCUUUGGCCUGGAAUAACACGAGGAAACUUGUGCUAAUACCGGAUAAGUCUUUACGGAGAAAGCUUUAUGCACCAUUGGAUGAGCCUGCACUUGAUUAGUUUGUUGGUGGGGUAAUGGCCUACCAAGACUGUGAUCAAUAGCUGAUUUGAGAGGAUGAUCAGCCACAUUGGGACUGAGACACGGCCCAAACUCCUACGGGAGGCAGCAGUGGGGAAUCUUGCACAAUGGAGGAAACUCUGAUGCAGCGAUGCCGCGUGAGUGAAGAAGGCCCUUGGGUUGUAAAGCUCUUUCGUCGGGGAAGAAAAUGACUGUACCCGAAUAAGAAGGUCCGGCUAACUUCGUGCCAGCAGCCGCGGUAAUACGAAGGGACCUAGCGUAGUUCGGAAUUACUGGGCUUAAAGAGUUCGUAGGUGGUUGAAAAAGUUAGUGGUGAAAUCCCAGAGCUUAACUCUGGAACUGCCAUUAAAACUUUUCAGCUAGAGUAUGAUAGAGGAAAGCAGAAUUUCUAGUGUAGAGGUGAAAUUCGUAGAUAUUAGAAAGAAUACCAAUUGCGAAGGCAGCUUUCUGGAUCAUUACUGACACUGAGGAACGAAAGCAUGGGUAGCGAAGAGGAUUAGAUACCCUCGUAGUCCAUGCCGUAAACGAUGUGUGUUAGACGUUGGAAAUUUAUUUUCAGUGUCGCAGGGAAACCGAUAAACACACCGCCUGGGGAGUACGACCGCAAGGUUAAAACUCAAAUGAAUUGACGGGGACCCGCACAAGUAGUGGAGCAUGUGGUUUAAUUCGAAGAUACGCGCAGAACCUUACCAACACUUGACAUGUUCGUCGCGACUCUAAGAGAUUAGAGUUUUCGGUUCGGCCGGACGAAACACAGGUGCUGCAUGGCUGUCGUCAGCUCGUGUCGUGAGAUGUUGGGUUAAGUCCCGCAACGAGCGCAACCCUCACUUUUAGUUACCAUCAUUAAGUUGGGCACUCUGAAAGAACUGCCAGUGAUAAGCUGGAGGAAGGUGGGGAUGACGUCAAGUCCUCAUGGCCCUUACGUGUUGGGCUACACACGUGCUACAAUGGUAUCUACAACAGGAAGCAAAACUGCGAAGUUAAGCAAAUCCCUAAAAGAUACCUCAGUUCGGAUUGCACUCUGCAACUCGAGUGCAUGAAGCUGGAAUUACUAGUAAUCGUGGAUCAGCGUGCCACGGUGAAUGCGUUCCCGGGUCUUGUACACACCGCCCGUCACACCAUGGGAGUUGGUUCUACCUUAAGGCAAGGUUUAAACCCCUGACCCANCNGUAUGCCGGCUG
rnacentral:rRNA from 1 species